AAUACCAUAAAUGCCCUUCCCACUGUUGGCACUUCCCUCUGAUUCUCCAGCUUGGGUAGAUCCACAGGCUUUCCCUCUUGGUCAGAGGCAGCACUCUGCCCUGUAGGCCUUGUCUCAGGAUGACUUACUCUGUGUCCAGGUUGCAGAGCGCCAGUUGCAGGCGUGGGAAGCAGACCAGCAGGAAGCAGAGGAAGAGGAGGCGGCAAAGCAGGCAGAGCAGCUCACCGAUGCCCUGUUAGAGCAGGAGGCAAAGAUGAUGGCCAAGCAGGGAUACCGGCCCAAGCCUUAUGGACAUCCCAAAAUUGCUUGGAACUGACUUCCUUGGUACUGGAAGCACAGAGAACAAGGGUGCUGAGGCCUUUGAUAUGCAACCGCCAAACAGUUUUACAAUGUUCUGCUCUAGUGUUAGGGUCACUGGAAAAUAGGUCAGUGAGCCUGUCAGGUCCAUGAUAAAAUGGAUCAAGGGUCUGGCCAAACUUUAAGGUGUUGUGAAUAUGCAACACCUAGUAGGAGGCCCUUCCAUGCCUUUCUUAUUCAAGAAAGGGGGUUUUAUAGUCACGCACUGAUAGUGCUGUCACAGUCUUGCACUAUAUUCAUAAAUAAUGUAAGAUUCUAAGUCUGUGCUAGGAGUUACAAGUUGUGUUCCAUGACAGGACUCAUGAUCUCCUGUUGUCUCACCCUUAAUUGUCAACCUCCAGUGAAGCCUCCAGCCAGAUAUGAGGGGAGGUUUUUCAUUUUUUAAGUUGCCAUUUAAAUUUAACUAUUCUAUUGCAGACAGACGUGUAAGAUUUAUUAAUUUAGUGGUCCCAAAAGGAUCACAUCUUGGUUUCUGAAGAAAAGAACUAUGAACCCUGAGACAGGCUGAUGUGGUCCUUGGGUGCUUUCUGGAAAGGUAGUGAGAAAUGAGUCUUCCCUCCUUUAGGAAGCACUUGGUAGAAUUUCCAAAGAGCACUGGGGAGGGGGGGAGUGUGAUCCCAACAUCUAUGUUACUGAGCCUCAAAAGGGGACUUCAGAAGGUCGCUUGGAUAGCUAACCUUUUGGUAUGACACUUUGGAUCUCUGGUGUCUCAGGAAGGUCUAAGCUACAUACAGCCUUCUAGGACUUAUGUACCCAGAGGAGGGACACUGACCCUGAAGAAACUAGAUCAGACUGAACCACAAAUUAGCCAAACGUUUCUCUUCCCACUGUUAUAUCAAUGUGACAUAGCUCUAGAUUAAUCUCUACAAGAAGUUCCUUGGCAGCAAUAUUUUUAUGACUUUUUUUUCAUAUUCUUUCUGUAAAGUUUUUGUUACAUUGUGUUCAAGAAUCCGUAUCUCAGUAAAUUACAGCUAAAUACUGUUCCAGGUUAUUAAAAACCAGAGUUUAUUUAAAAAUCCUGAGCCUAAGGGCUGUGUUGCCUUUCACUUCCAUUGUGUUAUUAAAACAAAUUAACCUGCAAACUAUAUCCUUAAUCUGUUUUUCAUUUUCUUAUCUUGAAUUUCUUUGGAUAUGAUCCACUGAGCUCCAUUUUCAUUGUGCAUGCUCAUAUUUAUUCCUGUUUCAGAUGUUCAUUACUUGUGAAAUAAAGUUCUGGUUUGACUGCAUCACUU